CCAGCAAGGGCUGUGAGAUUCCAGAUGCUACUUGGCAGUGUCAUCGAAGUCCCCAGAUCUUCUGGACUGGCAGAAGGAGGGAUGAGAUUGAUAACCCGGGAUAAUAGCUGGGGCUGGCGGAAAGCUGAAGGGAACUCGUUCCAUCAAAAGGUGUCCUCCAGCUGGACACAUCCCAGGCCGUGUAUUAGAGAAGAAGGCUGGCCACGGCAGGGCCUAGUGCGGUGCUUUGUUUCAGAGAGAACUGUGACCUCAGUAAGGGCUGAGGCUCUCAGGGCCGGUGGAAACCUCCCUCCGGGGAGGGGGAAGGGCUCCGUGGCUGGCCACGAGUCAGCAGAUGCUAAACCUGGUCGCUCAGUGGAGAGGUGGCAAGUCUGGAGUCUGAUUUGCUUUUGUGUCCUGGUUUUGCUGCCUGUAUCUUAUAAGAUCUUGGAAGGGUCUGACCCAUUGAGUCCCAGUCGAUGCAUCUGCAAGGCACUCCGCGGGGCAGCUCACAGCUCGCGGAUGGGAAAUGUAAUUGCAUCUGCCACUCAUCUGGUCCGUGCCCAGACUGUCUGCGCGGUGGCAGUGGUCCUCGGUUCUGUCAAAAGCACAUACAUGAGGUUUUAUAGUUUUAAUUUCCUUGUCCAUCAUGCACCUUCGUAUCAGCUGGCAGAAUGGAAUGAAGCCCACCCUGACCACCAGAGAGACUUUCUCCCUGCCUGAAGUCAGAUUGCAGCUCCUGGCUUGGAAUGGACAAAUGAGAAGAUGAAUUCAGGCCCUGUAGCUGAUACAGUUCAUCCAGUGCUCCUCAAGCAUUGACCGGCACUAAAAGCUGUUGUGACCCAUGCAUGGCCUUGACCCCAGCCUUCUCUCCUCUGAAGGAUGGAGACCCAGGGGAGGCCGGUGUACUGUCUUUCACAGAGCAGGUGCUUCAUAAAUAUUUAUUGGAUGACUAACUCCAGUGUUUAACUCUCAGAAUGAAGCGAAGUUCAGAUUGAGUUUUGUUUUGUUUUGUUUUCUGGUCCACAGGGAAGUGCACAGGACAGUGUUAGGGACAACCAAUGUAAGCCACUUCUUCCUACCCACUGCUUUAUGAUUCUAGAGUCAGAGCUUUCUGAGCUGGGCCUAGCCAGCUCUCCCCCAGACUGCUCUCUUGGGACCAGCUUCCCACAGCCUCCCCCGUCCCUGGGAGCAGCCAAGACGUCUUAUUCAUGGAUGCUCCUUCUGUGCGGGGCUUUGGUGGUGGCUGCUCUUCCACCACUCUGCCACUCGCUCAGCAGGACCCUGCCAAGUUUCCUCCUCCACACCUGAUGGCAUACCUGGCUGAGUUCUCAGCCUCACUUGGGAUUGCUUUCUUUGGUUCCAAACUGGGUUGCCUUUCCUCUUCUUCUUUGAAGGAACACCCUUGGUGCCUGGACCUUCACCACCAGUCUGCCACCCAACUACUUUUCUCUUCUGGCCUUCCCCUGGGUACAUCUCCUAGAACACCGCCAGGGCCCUUCUGACCUGACCUUUGGCACCACACCACACUUGUCCUCCUUGAGCCUCAGUGGUGCGUUCUCUCCCUCCAUCAGGCUGUGGAUUCCUUGAGGGCAGGCUCUGGGGCUAAGUACAGCUCUGCAGCCUCCCACACGCUCCACGUUCUCCCAUGGGACCUUGCCCAUGGUAAGCCUUAAUGCCUUUUUAUUGAUUACUCAGAAAUGGAGGCUCAUUAAGAGGUUUUUGAAACUUGGGAUCUCUUCCAUUAAGACAAUGGUACUUCGGAUUUCUUUCACGAAGACAAUGUUUCCCAAGGUGAGUUUUAGGAUAUUUAUAGGUAUUAUAGGAUAAAGAGAUGCAUGAUCAACUAAAAUAUUAUGUACAUUGUAAUUCUCCAAGUUAAAGGAUGUGGGAGUCUAGGAUCUCCAUGCAUGAGGAUCCCCAUGGACCUAGGACCCCAAGACAGGUACUCAGGAUGGCAGAGAACAUCUACUAUACCAGGUAAAGGAUAGAAGGCAACUGGUAAGGGCACUGACUAGGAGAAGGUCAGCAAGUAAAGCCAACCUCACAAAGAUGCACUCUGGACCACAGGGCUCACACAGUUAAUGCCAGAUACAGCUCCCAUUAGGUGAAGCAGGAACCUCCUCACUUCAUGGUCUUAUCUCCCCCCAGCCCCUCUGGCGGGUGGGGUGGGUAGGCUGUCAUCAAUAGCUUAACCAAUAAACCCUCACUCAAAACCA
ensembl:lncRNA uncharacterized LOC113890478